GCCCAGGGCAGUGUCGGGAUGUGAGGUUGGGGACAGGGCAGGUGUGGCUGACGGGGCGUGGUGCGCAGUGGGGCUCAGUGUGAUGGGGAGAGUGCGAGGUGAAGCCCCAAACUCGCUGCCCAGGUCUCUCUCCGUUUCCACUCCACCCCAGCCUCCUCCUCCCGCCACGGUGUUUUGAAGUAAAUCACAGGGUGGCACCAUCCAGAAGUUUAAAGGUGUCCGGGCGAGUCUCUAAAGGUUUAGGAAAUUCAGAACGGCCAUACGUGACCACAGGAAGAAAUGGGUGACUCUUGAGCAUCACCCAACACCCUGCCUGGGCUGGGAACUAGAAUCGCCUCCUCUUCCCUCCCGUCCUCUCACAUCCCAUCCGUCGGGGUCCUGCCCGACUCCAUCCCCUCUUCAGCCCACGCUGGCCACAGGGCAGUCCUGGGCACCCUCUGCCUCGGCUGGCUGCUUCAGGGUCCAUCCAGGCACAUGGUGGGCCCAUCUCCCACGACACGGGGCCUCCUCUCACUGCAGAUGGCCGAUCCCGACGGCACCCUCUGCUCUGGGACCCUCCCCUUGGCUGUUCUCCAGAGCCACAGUCUCUUCUAUCAGGGAGCCACAUGCUCCUGUCCCUCAGCCAUCCGGGUCUCUGGUGUCCGUCACCUUCUUGGAGAGGGCCUCCUGACCAGCUCAUCUCAGCCCUCCUUUCAUGACUCUCCAUCCCUGACCUCCAGCCCCCUUCCCCUCGGAGACCAGCCGUGUGCUAAGUGUGGGUAUGGCCGGGGGUCCCCCUAGGGUCCACUAUGAUGGGGGGCUGUUGGGAGUUGGUGGAACGUUUAAGGAGCAGGACCUCGUGGAAGUCCCUAAGGCCAUCACCGUGUAGAUGAUCAGGAGGAAGCCAGCUAGGGGUGUGCCCUCAGAGUGUGGUUCUUGUGUGGUUCCUUGAGUUCUCCCGAGGGGAUGGUUGUAGAAGGACAAGCCUGGACCCUCCCACUGCGUCUGCACCGUGGCUGUGAAGUGACAGCAUCUCGACACGUUCCCAUCAGUGCUGUCCCUCAUCAGAUGCAGGCACCAGGCACUUGAAUUUCCAAAACUGUGAGCUAAGUGAACCCCUCUCUCUCUAUUUUUUUAUUUAAAGUAGGUGGUGUCAGGAAUCUCGUUAUAGCCAUGAAAGGCUGGCUAGUGUGCCAUGUUGGACCACACCUUUGACUUGUGUGUUUUCUACCAAAGCAAAGGUACCUAAUCCCGGGCUUGGCUGCUCAUUCACUCCUAGAUCUACAGCACCCCUGCCCAUAUCCCACCCUCACUGAACAUUUGCCGGGUGGAUGAAUUAUUGUCCGAGUUCUGCAGCCCCAGAGAGACACUGGGUGACUUGAGAGCCAAGACAGAACCAGAAGCUGCAAAAGCUGAUCCACAAUUCUCCAGGUCGGGGACGCAGUCUAGUUAGGGGGCUGUGAGGACAGGGAAAGGUGGUCUUGUGGGGUCAGAGGCCUCUCAGAGGCUGGGAAGAAGCGAGCGGCCCACUGCCCUCUGGCUGCCGUGCCCUGCCCCGUCUCAUCCUGAACACAUCCCUGUGCUCCAGUGGACACGGGCUGGUAACCCAGAGGCACCUCAGAGCCAGCCCAGCCCAUGGUCCACCUCAGGACCCUUGUGGGGUGGAAUUCUCUUUUCUGCAGGGCGUUAGCGGGGAUGGAGCCCAGCCUCAGACCUGAGAAGCCUGUGGGUUUGGAGCUUUCUCAGGUAGCAGCGCCUGGGAGGCCUGUGGGCAGUGAGUUAUGCCAACCCCCUCGACCACGCUUCG
rnacentral:lncRNA from 1 species